GAGAAGUCCACUAAACCUUAUCAUUUAGAGGAAGGAGAAGUCGUAACAAGGUUUCCGUAGGUGAACUGCGGAAGGAUCAUUG
rnacentral:rRNA from 1 species